UACAGAGGGGGCGAGCGUUAUUCGGAAUUAUUGGGCGUAAAGGCGCGUAGGCGGCCUUUCAAGUGACGGGUGAAAUCCCUCGGCUUAACCGAGGAACUGCCUGUCAGACUGGAAGGCUUGAGACCGGGAGAGGUGAGUGGAAUUCCCAGUGUAGCGGUGAAAUGCGUAGAUAUUGGGAGGAACACCAGUGGCGAAGGCGGCUCACUGGACCGGUACUGACGCUGAGGCGCGAAAGCGUGGGGAGCAAACAGGG
rnacentral:rRNA from 1 species